AUCUGGGCCAGGCAUAGUGAGAC
rnacentral:piRNA from 1 species